rnacentral:rRNA from 1 species
CCCCCCAAAUUCUGAAAAUUUGAC